rnacentral:rRNA from 1 species
UUCAUCGCGCCGCAGGACCACCCCCGCUCCAACUUCCUCCUCCCUCCGCCGCCCAGGACCCACCCUGCACCGGCAGUCACUUCCUGCCCGACGCCAUAGCACCCCAUCCUCUCAUCCCACCCCCAUCGGGCCGCUACAAUCCACGCCGGAGAGACCGGAUGCACUUCCUUCCCCACGGGCCCAACACACACGGGCGCUCGUCUCCACCCAAUCCUGCACCUCUUCCCUCCCCACCUUCUUCCUCAGGCACGACAGCCACCCUGCCGACCCCCAGCCGCGCCAAGCGCCACCCUACUGGCCUCCUCCCCUGCUCCAUCGAGCUUCCCCUCCCCUUCCCCCAGCUUCGCCCGUAACCGCCUUCCGUCAUAUAGUGUCGCUGCCUUCCAGUUUGAGGCGCCGCCGCCCCCCCGCUGCACCCCGCGUCAGAUCCGUGAGGACCUGGCAACUCUGCGCCGCCCCCUCCACGGAUAUGGUGGGAUCCACCAUCAUCUCUUCUCCAGCGCUCGCCAUAGGCCACCACCAGUUUCCCCUAGAUGCCGAUCCAUUUCAUGGUGGUCGAAGCAUUACAUGACGCCCCUGUAGGUGGUUGCAGCAGUCCGCUUGGGUUCGUUGGAAUCCAUGGCGGAGGAUGCCAACCAACACGACCACGAGCCCCCAAUCCACCUCCCCAACAUUUUGUCCGCUGACUGACGGCAUCUUGUGCGGCGGCGGCCUCAUCCUCCCGUACUAACUCCAUCGUCUGGGCGUGCCUCCAUCCGUUGUGGGCGCCUUCUUCGCCUCCCCAAUUUGCCUUCGUUUUGCUGUGGCUUGGCCCCGGCGUCAGCAGCACAUCACCGGGAUGGUGGAGGAUGGUGGAGGCACCGCACUGGACUGGGUGCUCCUAUUGAUGUUCAUGGUUUUUACAAUCAACGCAAACACAAGAGAGAUGAGGAGAAGAAAAAAGCGUCAAAGAAAGCCGGCGAUGAGAGCCCAACGGGCAGUAUGAUGCAGUUCUGUCCACCUACGCGUGCAGCCCAGAAAAAAAAUGAGCAAAACUGCAAACAUCGAGAGGCGGAAUACGACGUGCUCGGGAUCGGCAUCUGCUAGGCCGGUGCAGUGCAGCAGGCGCAUGCUUGCAGACCGCCAAGACUGCCAAGACUCUAUUUGUUUGUGUAUGUGAAAAAUGCAUGCAGAGACUAAUUGUUUGUGUAUGUGAAAAAUGCAUGGAGAGACUAAUUGUUUGUGUAUGUGAAAAAAUGCACCCAGCUGCACCCUCAUGCUGUGUUGUUUUUUAAUGACAUAGAACAUCAAAAAAACUGAACUCUGUAUGUUCCCAAUGCAGUUCGGCGGGCAUGCUCUGCGCAGUGCAUUUGACUCUUCAUUUUUGCUGCGGUGCAGCUGGGUGCGAUUUGGUGUGCAGUCCACCCGUGAGGGUGCUUGCAGUACUGUGGCGUGAUGCUCACGGUCUUG